rnacentral:tRNA from 1 species
GCGGACGUAGCUCAGAGGUAGAGCACUGGAUUGUGGCUCCGGUGGUCGCGCGUUCGAAUCGCGUCGUUCGCCCCA